rnacentral:snoRNA from 1 species
UAAUCAAUGAUAAGACCUUAUAUUGUCUCUAUGAGAAAAAAAUGACUUAAAAUUAUUCUCAAUAGGAUUAUGCUGAGUCUC